rnacentral:rRNA from 1 species
GAUGAACGCUGGCUACAGGCUUAACACAUGCAAGUCGAGGGGAAACGACGGGGAAGCUUGCUUCCUUGGGCGUCGACCGGCGCACGGGUGAGUAACGCGUAUCCAACCUGCCUCUGACUGAGGGAUAACCCGUCGAAAGUCGGCCUAAUACCUCAUGGUAUCGUCUGCGGGCAUCCAACGACGAUUAAAGAUUUCAUCGGUCAGGGAUGGGGAUGCGUCUGAUUAGCUUGUUGGCGGGGUAACGGCCCACCAAGGCUACGAUCAGUAGGGGUUCUGAGAGGAAGGUCCCCCACAUUGGAACUGAGACACGGUCCAAACUCCUACGGGAGGCAGCAGUGAGGAAUAUUGGUCAAUGGGCGAGAGCCUGAACCAGCCAAGUAGCGUGCAGGAAGACGGCCCUAUGGGUUGUAAACUGCUUUUAUGCGGGGAUAAAGUGAGGGACGUGUCCUUCAUUGCAGGUACCGCAUGAAUAAGGACCGGCUAAUUCCGUGCCAGCAGCCGCGGUAAUACGGAAGGUCCUGGCGUUAUCCGGAUUUAUUGGGUUUAAAGGGAGCGUAGGCCGUGGAUUAAGCGUGUUGUGAAAUGCAGGUGCUCAACGUCUACACUGCAGCGCGAACUGGUCCACUUGAGUGUGCGCAACGCAGGCGGAAUUCGUCGUGUAGCGGUGAAAUGCUUAGAUAUGACGAAGAACUCCGAUUGCGAAGGCAGCUUGCGGGAGCACAACUGACGCUGAAGCUCGAAAGUGCGGGUAUCGAACAGG